rnacentral:rRNA from 1 species
GUUAAGUGACUAAGCGUACACGGUGGAUGCCUUGGCAGUCAGAGGCGAUGAAAGACGUAGUAACUUGCGAUAAGCCCAGAUUAGGUAGUAACAACCAUUUGAGUCUGGGAUUUCUGAAUGGGGAAACCCACGUGCAUAAGCACGUAUCCUUACCUGAAUACAUAGGGUAAGGAGGCGAACCGGGGGAACUGAAACAUCUAAGUACCCCGAGGAAAAGAAAUCAACCGAGAUUCCGAAAGUAGCGGCGAGCGAAAUUGGACUAGCCCUUAAGCUUUACACGCGUUAGACGAACGGUCUGGAAAGUCCGACGAUACAGGGUGAUAGUCCCGUAGUUGACGACGUGUGUUCAGUGAAAUCGAGUAGGGCGGGACACGUGAUAUCCUGUCUGAAUAUGGGGGGACCAUCCUCCAAGGCUAAAUACUACUGACUGACCGAUAGUGAACCAGUACCGUGAGGGAAAGGCGAAAAGAACCCCUGUGAGGGGAGUGAAAUAGAACCUGAAACCGUGUACGUACAAGCAGUAGGAGCAGGCUUUGUCCUGUGACUGCGUACCUUUUGUAUAAUGGGUCAGCGACUUAUAUUCAGUGGCAAGGUUAACCAUCUAGGGGAGCCGUAGGGAAACCGAGUCUUAACUGGGCGUUCAGUCUCUGGAUAUAGACCCGAAACCAGGUGAUCUAGCCAUGGGCAGGUUGAAGGUUGAGUAACAUCAACUGGAGGACCGAACCGACUAAUGUUGAAAAAUUAGCGGAUGACUUGUGGCUAGGGGUGAAAGGCCAAUCAAACCUGGAGAUAGCUGGUUCUCCCCGAAAGCUAUUUAGGUAGCGCCUCGGACGAAUACUACUGGGGGUAGAGCACUGUUAAGGCUAGGGGGUCAUCCCGACUUACCAACCCUUUGCAAACUCCGAAUACCAGUAAGUACUAUCCGGGAGACACACGGCGGGUGCUAACGUCCGUCGUGGAGAGGGAAACAACCCAGACCGCCAGCUAAGGUCCCAAAUUACUACUAAGUGGGAAACGAUGUGGGAAGGCUCAGACAGCCAGGAUGUUGGCUUAGAAGCAGCCAUCAUUUAAAGAAAGCGUAAUAGCUCACUGGUCGAGUCGGCCUGCGCGGAAGAUGUAACGGGGCUAAGUAGUAAACCGAAGCUGCGGCAAUAUACUUUUGUAUAUUGGGUAGGGGAGCGUUCUGUAAGCGGUUGAAGGUGUGUGGUAACGCAUGCUGGACGUAUCAGAAGUGCGAAUGCUGACAUGAGUAACGAUAAAGGGGGUGAAAAACCUCCUCGCCGGAAGACCAAGGGUUCCUGUCCAACGUUAAUCGGGGCAGGGUAAGUCGACCCCUAAGGCGAGGCCGAAAGGCGUAGUCGAUGGGAAACGGGUUAAUAUUCCCGUACUUCUUACAAUUGCGAUGGGGGGACGGAGAAGGCUAGGUGGGCCUGGCGACGGUUGUCCAGGUUCAAGUGCGUAGGCUUAAGAGUUAGGUAAAUCCGGCUCUUUUUAAGGCUGAGACACGACGUCGAGCACCUACGGGUGUGAAGUCAUUGAUGCCAUGCUUCCAGGAAAAGCCUCUAAGCUUCAGAUUGUAAGGAAUCGUACCCCAAACCGACACAGGUGGUCGGGUAGAGAAUACCAAGGCGCUUGAGAGAACUCGGGUGAAGGAACUAGGCAAAAUGGUACCGUAACUUCGGGAGAAGGUACGCUCUUGAUGGUGAAGUCCCUUGCGGAUGGAGCUGACGAGAGUCGCAGAUACCAGGUGGCUGCAACUGUUUAUUAAAAACACAGCACUGUGCAAAAUCGUAAGAUGACGUAUACGGUGUGACGCCUGCCCGGUGCCGGAAGGUUAAUUGAUGGGGUUAGACUUCGGUCGAAGCUCUUGAUCGAAGCCCCGGUAAACGGCGGCCGUAACUAUAACGGUCCUAAGGUAGCGAAAUUCCUUGUCGGGUAAGUUCCGACCUGCACGAAUGGCGUAAUGAUGGCCACGCUGUCUCCACCCGAGACUCAGUGAAAUUGAAAUCGCUGUGAAGAUGCAGUGUACCCGCGGCUAGACGGAAAGACCCCGUGAACCUUUACUACAGCUUGGCACUGAACAUUGACCCUACAUGUGUAGGAUAGGUGGGAGGCUUUGAAGCACGUACGCCAGUAUGUGUGGAGCCGUCCUUGAAAUACCACCCUUGUAGUGUUGAUGUUCUAACGUCGACCCCUAAUCGGGGUUGCGGACAGUGCCUGGUGGGUAGUUUGACUGGGGCGGUCUCCUCCCAAAGAGUAACGGAGGAGCACGAAGGUGGGCUAAUCACGGUUGGACAUCGUGAGGUUAGUGCAAUGGCAUAAGCCCGCUUGACUGCGAGAAUGACAAUUCGAGCAGGUGCGAAAGCAGGUCAUAGUGAUCCGGUGGUUCUGAAUGGAAGGGCCAUCGCUCAACGGAUAAAAGGUACUCCGGGGAUAACAGGCUGAUACCGCCCAAGAGUUCAUAUCGACGGCGGUGUUUGGCACCUCGAUGUCGGCUCAUCACAUCCUGGGGCUGAAGUCGGUCCCAAGGGUAUGGCUGUUCGCCAUUUAAAGUGGUACGCGAGCUGGGUUUAGAACGUCGUGAGACAGUUCGGUCCCUAUCUGCCGUGGGCGUUGGAAGAUUGAAGGGGGCUGCUCCUAGUACGAGAGGACCGGAGUGGACGAACCUCUGGUGUUCGGGUUGUGUCGCCAGACGCAUUGCCCGGUAGCUAAGUUCGGAAUCGAUAACCGCUGAAAGCAUCUAAGCGGGAAGCGAGCCCUGAGAUGAGUCUUCCCUGAUACUUUAAGUAUCCUAAAGGGUUGUCGGAGACUACGACGUUGAUAGGUCAGGUGUGUAAGUGCUGUGAGGCAUUGAGCUAACUGAUACUAAUUGCCCGUGAGGCUUAACC